CUAGCUACUUUCAUUACCAUCAUCUUCUAGGUAGCUGUAACUACUUGUCUAUAAAAAAAAGACCAUCACCUUCAUCAAAAUCAUCACAAGACAUAUAAGAAAAAACUUUCUUCAUUCAACUCUGAAACAACAAGUAUCUUCAAAUUAAUUAUCUCCAAAUUUUCACUUUUCAUCUCCAGAUUCGACGACGGACUAAAGCAAUUUCUUUGUAACAAUUUUGCAUGAUUUCAGUUAGGUUGCUUGAUUUUCUUGCGGUAAUCGCGCGUUUAUAUAUCUCAACAACCACAUUUGUUGGGAUUUCGGUUCCUGAAACCAAAUUUGCCAAGAUUUUGUUGCUUGAUCUGGAACUAAGCUUCCCAAACAUAUCCACUCCAUUUGACUUGGGAUUCUAACAAAACCGACUCUGAGGGAAAAAUGCUGGUUAAUUUAGCACCAAAGCGGGGGACAGGAACAGGAAAAGCAACACGAAGUUCAUUUUGUCACAAGUUGUCUUCGUAAUUAUUGGUAUGAGCGCACUCGGAAAUGCAUAGGCCAGUCAGCGUCCUUCAAUCCAACAGAUAACGACUUUCCCCAGAACCUUCUACAAUUAAUACCAGAACCAAUUCCAGGGAAAGUCCGAUUUCCAAAUACCAACAAGAAGAGGAAGGAAAUAUCUAAGUUACUAAUCUUCAUGUAAUAUCUCCAUAUAUGUUUCAAAAAGAAGAAAAGAAAAUGUAAUAUCUCCAUAUGAGCGGACACAGAAAAUCAAGCUAAUGAAAAUUAAGUUGCAUUUUACAGUUUUA